AGAGUUUGAUCCUGGCUCAGAACGAACGCUGGCGGCGUGGAUAAGACAUGCAAGUCGGACGGGGUUACUUUUGGUAGCAAUACCGAAGGUGAUUCAGUGGCGAACGGGUGCGUAACACGUGGGCAAUCUACCGAGAAGUGGGGGAUAGCUCGCCGAAAGGCGAAUUAAUACCGCAUGUGAUGAGAGGCGACAUCGCUUCGAAAUCAAAGGUGGCGCAAGCUACCGCUUUUUGAGGAGCCCGCGGCCUAUCAGCUUGUUGGUGAGGUAACGGCUCACCAAGGCAUUGACGGGUAGCUGGUCUGAGAGGACGACCAGUCACACUGGGACUGAGACACGGCCCAGACUCCUACGGGAGGCAGCAGUGGGGAAUAUUGGACAAUGGGGGCAACCCUGAUCCAGCAAUGCCGCGUGUGUGAAGAAGGCCUUCGGGUUGUAAAGCCCUGUGGGGAGGGACGAAUAAGUUCCGGUUAAUACCCGGAGCGAUGACGGUACCUCCUUAGCAAGCACCGGCUAACUCUGUGCCAGCAGCCGCGGUAAU
rnacentral:rRNA from 1 species